ensembl:lncRNA
GGCUGACGUCAAUACAGCAAGAAGGCAGGAAAAGAUGUAGAAUAUUCCACAAUUUGUUGUUGUUGUUGUUGAAGAUGGCUGAUGUUUAAAAAAAUCUCUGACAGUGUAAACUUCGGUUACUUUUAGAUUUGGCAUUUUAGACCUUUAUUUCUCCUCAGUGCCCCCUUUGUCAGGGCCAUUGAUGGAGCCAGCCAUUGUGUGAAUGAGGACAGAAAAGAAACACAGUAUGCUCGGCACUCAAGCUGUUCACAGUAGACCCCUGGAAGGCAUCUCUUUAAUUGCCUAAUAAGAUCUAUGGUGAAACUAUGACUUGCCUGACCAGUCUUCUGUUUACGGAAAAGGUUAAAAAAUGAUCUAAGAACACUGUUUUGGAAAGGAACCAACUCUUACUUCAUCGGGAGUCAAAGCAAAAGGAAGAAUCCAGAAGUAUCAGUUGAAGGUCUGGAAAUGCUUCCCUCCACUUUUCUGUCUGAUGAUUCCCCACACGUCUGUGACGGAUUAAAGGUGGCUGCAAAUCUUUGCUGCUCUUCCCAUUGAGAGAUGAUGUCUGCAUCCCUUCACUCUGGGACUCUGGUUUGACUCUGGGACUGCUUGGCCA